GGGUGAGUAAUGUCUGGGAAACUGCCUGAUGGAGGGGGAUAACUACUGGAAACGGUGGCUAAUACCGCAUAACGUCGCAAGACCAAAGAGGGGGACCUUCGGGCCUCUUGCCAUCAGAUGUGCCCAGAUGGGAUUAGCUUGUUGGUGAGGUAACGGCUCACCAAGGCGACGAUCCCUAGCUGGUCUGAGAGGAUGACCAGCCACACUGGAACUGAGACACGGUCCAGACUCCUACGGGAGGCAGCAGUGGGGAAUAUUGCACAAUGGGCGCAAGCCUGAUGCAGCCAUGCCGCGUGUAUGAAGAAGGCCUUCGGGUUGUAAAGUACUUUCAGCGGGGAGG
rnacentral:rRNA from 1 species